rnacentral:rRNA from 1 species
UUGUUGGUAAGGUAAAAGCUUACCAAGGCUUCGAUCAGUAGCUGGUCUGAGAGGACGACCAGCCACACUGGGACUGAGACACGGCCCAGACUCCUACGGGAGGCAGCAGUGGGGAAUUUUGGACAAUGGGGGCAACCCUGAUCCAGCCAUGCCGCGUGAGUGAAGAAGGCCUUCGGGUUGUAAAGCUCUUUCAGCCGGAACGAAACGGUUACGGUUAACACCCGUGACUACUGACGGUACCGGAAGAAGAAGCACCGGCUAACUACGUGCCAGCAGCCGCGGUAAUACGUAGGGUGCGAGCGUUAAUCGGAAUUACUGGGCGUAAAGCGUGCGCAGGUGGUUUUGUAAGUCAGAUGUGAAAGCCCCGGGCUCAACCUGGGAACUGCGUUUGAAACUACAAGACUAGAGUGUGGCAGAGGGGGGUGGAAUUCCGCGUGUAGCAGUGAAAUGCGUAGAGAUGUGGAGGAACACCGAUGGCGAAGGCAGCCCCCUGGGUCAACACUGACGCUCAGGCACGAAAGCAUGGGGAGCAAACAGGAUUAGAUACCCUGGUAGUCCAUGCCCUAAACGAUGUCAACUAGUUGUCGGGCCUUUACGGGCUUGGUAACGUAGCUAACGCGUGAAGUUGACUGCCUGGGGAGUACGAUCGCAAGAUUAAAACUCAAAUGAAUUGACGGGGACCCGCACAAGCGGUGGAUUAUGUGGAUUAAUUCGAUGCAACGCGAAAAACCUUACCUACCCUUGACAUGUAUCGAAGCCCGCAGAAAAGCGGGGGUGCCCGAAAGGGAACGAUAACACAGGUGCUGCAUGGCUGUCGUCAGCUCGUGUCGUGAGAUGUUGGGUUAAGUCCCGCAACGAGCGCAACCCUUGUCAUUAAUUGCCAUCAUUUAGUUGGGCACUUUAAUGAGACUGCCGG